rnacentral:rRNA from 1 species
GAUGAACGCUGGCGGCGUGCCUAAUACAUGCAAGCCGAGCGAAUGGAUUAAGAGCUUGCUCUUAUGAAGUUAGCGGCGGACGGGUGAGUAACACGUGGGUAACCUGCCCAUAAGACUGGGAUAACUCCGGGAAACCGGGGCUAAUACCGGAUAACAUUUUGAACCGCAUGGUUCGAAAUUGAAUGGCGGCUUCGGCUGUCACUUCUGGAUGGACCCGCGUCGCAUUAGCUAGUUGGUGAGGUAACGGCUCACCAAGGCAACGAUGCGUAGCCGACCUGAGAGGGUGAUCGGCCACACUGGGACUGAGACACGGCCCAGACUCCUACGGGAGGCAGCAGUAGGGAAUCUUCCGCAAUGGACGAAAGUCUGACGGAGCAACGCCGCGUGAGUGAUGAAGGCUUUCGGGUCGUAAAACUCUGUUGUUAGGGAAGAACAAGUGCUAGUUGAAUAAGCUGGCACCUUGACGGUACCUAACCAGAAAGCCACGGCUAACUACGUGCCAGCCGCCGCGGUAA